rnacentral:rRNA from 1 species
GAUGAACGCUAGCUACAGGCUUAACACAUGCAAGUCGAGGGGCAGCAUGUUGGUUGCUUGCAACCAAUGUUGGCGACCGGCGCACGGGUGCGUAACGCGUAUCGAACCUGCCCUAUACUCGGGGAUAGCCUUGCGAAAGUAAGAUUAAUACCCGAUGUUGUUAUUACAUCGCAUGAUGUUUUAACCAAAGAUUUAUCGGUAUAGGAUGGCGAUGCGUGACAUUAGGUAGUAGGUGAGGUAACGGCUCACCUAGCCUACGAUGUCUAGGGGUUCUGAGAGGAAGGUCCCCCACACUGGAACUGAGACACGGUCCAG